UAGCUAUCGGCAACUUAAACGGCAUUGUAAAAGACUUGGUCUAAAGAGGCGGCCAAACUGGAAUCGUGCUGUCGUUCAAGCAGCUAUUUUGACAUAAGGUACUGCAAUAUCAAAACAUCAUAGAUCCCGAAGGUGUUCAGGCCAGACUGUCAAACAGGCUUUCAAGAAGAGAAUACUUUAACAGAGGUCCGAAUUUUCUAAUUCACAUUGACGGUUACGACAAGAUAAAGAAGUAUGGGUUUGGAAUCCACGGAGCCAUUUGUGGCUUUUCGAGACGGAUUCUUUGGCUGAAAGUUGCACAUUCCAAUAAUAAUCCGAAUAUCAUUGCUGCCUAUUUUCUAGAGUUCGUAAAAGAAAUAGGAGGUGA